GCAUCUAUACGGUGAACUGCGAAUGGCUCAUUAAAUCAGUUAUCGUUUAUUUGAUAGUACCUUACUACAUGGAUAACCGUGGUAAUUCUAGAGCUAAUACAUGCUAAAAACCCCGACUUCGGGAGGGGUGUAUUUAUUAGAUAAAAAACCAACGCCCUUCGGGGCUUCUUGGUGAUUCAUAAUAACUUAACGAAUCGCAUGGCCUUGCGCCGGCGAUGGUUCAUUCAAAUUUCUGCCCUAUCAACUUUCGAUGGUAGGAUAGUGGCCUACCAUGGUAUCAACGGGUAACGGGGAAUUAGGGUUCUAUUCCGGAGAGGGAGCCUGAGAAACGGCUACCACAUCCAAGGAAGGCAGCAGGCGCGCAAAUUACCCAAUCCCGACGCGGGGAGGUAGUGACAAUAAAUACUGAUACAGGGCUCUUUUGGGUCUUGUAAUUGGAAUGAGUACAAUUUAAAUCCCUUAACGAGGAACAAUUGGAGGGCAAGUCUGGUGCCAGCAGCCGCGGUAAUUCCAGCUCCAAUAGCGUAUAUUAAAGUUGUUGCAGUUAAAAAGCUCGUAGUUGAACCUUGGGCCUGGCUGGCCGGUCCGCCUCACCGCGUGCACUGGUCCGGCCGGGCCUUUCCUUCUGGGGAGCCGCAUGCCCUUCACUGGGUGUGUCGGGGAACCAGGACUUUUACUUUGAAAAAAUUAGAGUGUUCAAAGCAGGCCUUUGCUCGAAUACAUUAGCAUGGAAUAAUAGAAUAGGACGUGCGGUCCUAUUUUGUUGGUUUCUAGGACCGCCGUAAUGAUUAAUAGGGAUAGUCGGGGGCAUCAGUAUUCAAUUGUCAGAGGUGAAAUUCUUGGAUUUAUUGAAGACUAACUACUGCGAAAGCAUUUGCCAAGGAUGUUUUCAUUAAUCAGUGAACGAAAGUUAGGGGAUCGAAGACGAUCAGAUACCGUCGUAGUCUUAACCGUAAACUAUGCCGACUAGGGAUCGGGCGAUGUUAUCAUUUUGACUCGCUCGGCACCUUACGAGAAAUCAAAG
rnacentral:rRNA from 1 species